GCAGUCGCCGCGGUAAUACAGAGGGUGCAAGCGUUAAUCGGAAUUACUGGGCGUAAAGUGCGCGUAGGUGGUUUGUUAAGUUGGAUGUGAAAUCCCCGGGCUCAACCUGGGAACUGCAUCCAAAACUGGCAAGCUAGAGUAUGGUAGAGGGUGGUGGAAUUUCCUGUGUAGCGGUGAAAUGCGUAGAGAUCUGGAGGAAUACCGGUGGCGAAGGCGGCCCCCUGGACAAAGACUGACGCUCAGGUGCGAAAGCGUGGGGAGCAAACAGGAUUAGAUACCCCAGUAGUCCCUGUCUCUUAUAC
rnacentral:rRNA from 1 species